GAUGAACGCUGGCGGCGUGCCUAAUACAUGCAAGUCGAGCGAACAGACGAGGAGCUUGCUCCUCUGACGUUAGCGGCGGACGGGUGAGUAACACGUGGAUAACCUACCUAUAAGACUGGGAUAACUUCGGGAAACCGGAGCUAAUACCGGAUAAUAUAUUGAACCGCAUGGUUCAAUAGUGAAAGACGGUUUUGCUGUCACUUAUAGAUGGAUCCGCGCCGCAUUAGCUAGUUGGUAAGGUAACGGCUUACCAAGGCAACGAUGCAUAGCCGACCUGAGAGGGUGAUCGGCCACACUGGAACUGAGACACGGUCCAGACGCCUACGGGAGGCAGCAGUAGGGAAUCUUCCGCAAUGGGCGAAAGCCUGACGGAGCAACGCCGCGUGAGUGAUGAAGGUCUUCGGAUCGUAAAACUCUGUUAUUAGGGAAGAACAAAUGUGUAAGUAACUAUGCACGUCUUGACGGUACCUAAUCAGAAAGCCACGGCUAACUACGUG
rnacentral:rRNA from 1 species